CCUACGGGCGGCAGCAGUGGGGAAUAUUGGGCAAUGGGCGCAAGCCUGACCCAGCAACGCCGCGUGAAGGAAGAAGGCUCUCGGGUUGUAAACUUCUUUUCUCAGGGACGAAGCAAGUGACGGUACCUGAGGAAUAAGCCACGGCGAAUUACGUGCCAGCAGCCGCGGUAAUACGUAGGUGGCAAGCUUUAUCCUGAUUUACUUGGUUUAAAGGACGUGUGGGCGGGAAAGGAAGUCAGAUGUGAAAACUAUGGGCUCAAACUGUGGCCUGCAUUUGAAACUGUUUUUCUUGAGUACUUGAGAGGCAGACGGAAUUCGUAGUGUAGCGGUGAAAUGCGUAGAUAUUA
rnacentral:rRNA from 1 species